rnacentral:rRNA from 1 species
AGAUUGAACGCUGGCGGCAUGCCUUACACAUGCAAGUCGAACGGCAGCACGGGAGCAAUCCUGGUGGCGAGUGGCGAACGGGUGAGUAAUAUAUCGGAACGUGCCCAGUCGUGGGGGAUAACGCAGCGAAAGCUGUGCUAAUACCGCAUACGAUCUAUGGAUGAAAGCGGGGGAUCGCAAGACCUCGCGCGAUUGGAGCGGCCGAUAUCAGAUUAGCUAGUUGUGGGGUAAAAGCUACCAAGGCGACGAUCUGUAGCUGGUCUGAGAGGACGACCAGCCACACUGGAACUGAGACACGGCCCAGACGUCCUACGGGA